CCAACGGCCCUUUUCAGGGCCUCUGAUUUUUUCCGUAAAGUUCUA
rfam:Octopus bimaculoides Scaffold48444_contig_8, whole genome shotgun sequence.